rnacentral:tRNA from 1 species
UAGCUCAGUGGUUUGAGCAUUGGUCUGAUAAACCCAGGGUUGUGAGUUCAAUUCUUGC